rnacentral:tRNA from 1 species
GUGUCUGUAGCCUAGUGGUAAAAGGCAGCACUCUAGAUGCUGAGGUUAUGGGUUCAAAUCCCACCAGACACA